AGUGACCGAUAGUGAACCAGUACCGUGAGGGAAAGGUGAAAAGCACCCCGGAAGGGGAGUGAAAUAGAACCUGAAACCGUGUGCUUACAAGUAGUCAGAGCCCGUUAAUGGGUGAUGGCGUGCCUUUUGUAGAAUGAACCGGCGAUUUACGAUUUGAUGCAAGGUUAAGCAGUAAAUGUGGAGCCGUAGCGAAAGCGAGUCUGAAUAGGGCGUUUAGUAUUUGGUCGUAGACCCGAAACCAGGUGAUCUACCCUUGGUCAGGUUGAAGUUCAGGUAACACUGAAUGGAGGACCGAACCGACUUACGUUGAAAAGUGAGCGGAUGAACUGAGGGUAGCGGAGAAAUUCCAAUCGAACCUGGAGAUAGCUGGUUCUCUCCGAAAUAGCUUUAGGGCUAGCCUCAAGUGAUGAUUAUUGGAGGUAGAGCACUGUUUGGACGAGGGGCCCCUCUCGG
rnacentral:rRNA from 1 species